GGGGGCGUAGCUCAGUGCCAGAGCACCUGCCUUGCAUGCAGAAGGUCCCAGGUUCAAACCCCACCCCCA